CGACUCUCGCCUCCCGAAAUUAUAAACGGAGAUCGAUACGGCCAGAUCACGUCCAAGGUACACAAAAACAAAAGGUGAUGUAAUGCCUGUGAAAAUGACGAAGCCCGCCCGAACACCGGACGUCUGCGUCUACGACGUCGCGACGUCGCACAGAUGUACGUCAGGACGAACGGACGGAUCGUUCAAAACCGCGGGACAGCUAUGUGUUUAUCAAGGUACAAUCUAAAGGAUAGAAGAAGUUCUGCAUUGCGUCUCUAAAUAUACAAGCUGUCCGAUAAGUUUUGAUGAAAAGCGUUCGAGGCAGAGUGGACUGAACAAGGAAAUCCAUCUUCUUGCAGAGUUUUUUCUUCACGUUGUGAGGUUUGGGAUCGAGG